UACGGAGGGAGCUAGCGUUGUUCGGAUAUACUGGGCGUAAAGCGCACGUAGGCGGCGCAGCAAGUCAGGGGUGAAAUCCCGGAGCUCAACUCCGGAACUGCCUUUGAAACUGCAGUGCUAGAAUCCUGGAGAGGCGAGUGGAAUUCCGAGUGUAGAGGUGAAAUUCGUAGAUAUUCGGAAGAACACCAGUGGUGAAGGCGACUCGCUGGACAGGUAUUGACGCUGAGGUGCGAAAGCGUGGGGAGCAAACAGG
rnacentral:rRNA from 1 species